CAGAUUGUAACAAACAUUUGCGUUUGAUCUUUUUUUGUAUGUGUUUUUGCCUUCAGUUACUGCAGUAUGUCCUAUUAUUACCUCUUGGUUUUUUCACAAUCAGGCAAUCAUCUUCAAACAGAACAUUAUUUGUACCAAUAACAUCCUCGUCCCUGCACGUGCGCUCCAUGUAGGACUCGGCUCACAGGUUCUGUCAGUCAAAGCACCCACAAGGGACACGUACAUACAUACACUUGCUUAGAUCAUCAUCACCCAUCACUAUGGAUAUACUUCCUGUCUGCAUGUGUGUGCCUUGAAGGCAACGUUGUCCUGAUGGGUCACUGACCCACUCAACCAUUCAAUCAUCCCAAAAGGCAGCCAGUGUCUGCAUGGGCUGCUCACUACCUGGGUCAGCGAACACAAAGCAGGAAGACAUUAAAACACUGCAGUCAUCGCCGUAUUGUCAUCGCAAUAUUGAACACUUAGGUGAUCACACACCCAAUUACUAUUCAUAAUAUUGUGCAGCCUCACUGUAAACUGUGUAUAUUCUGUAUGCUGGUGUUGGUUCACUGUCUCCACAAUUAAUGUGACAAUUUAAUUUGUAGCCACAGUGACUCAAGUGUUCUGUACUGGGGCUAAUCAAAGUGUGGCGCCAUUAAUCUCUGUGAUACAGCAACUGCUUGCUGCCUGUUUAUGCCUUGAAGAAGGUCACUGACUGGAGACUUGCACUGAAAAAGAUUUUUGCACAGA